CCCCCACCACACGCUCUCCACUCCAGCAGCCUCAGCGGGAGAGAGUUGCAGUUCAUUCGUGGCCUUUGUGGAAUAGGAGCACUGAUCUUAACGUGACCGGCAGGAGCGGAAAGCCAAGACUCCUUAAGGUUUCCGGAGAGGUCCGAGCUGGCUGCAUUAGUUUUCCAGAAAGUGGAUUGUGCUUUUACUCCUUUCAUGUUGGGAAAUUUUGAGGAGUCUUGCAUUUCUAAUCCUCCAGUCACUGAUAUCUUUGGGUGUUGAAAAUAGAAAAUUGGU